UAACCUGCCCUGGAGUGGGGAAUAACAGCUGGAAACAGCUGCUAAUACCGCAUAAUGCAGUUGGGCCGCAUGGCUCUGACUGCCAAAGAUCUAUCGCUCUGGGAUGGACUCGCGUCUGAUUAGCUAGUUGGUGGGGCAACGGCCCACCAAGGCGACGAUCAGUAGCCGGACUGAGAGGUUGGCCGGCCACAUUGGGACUGAGACACGGCCCAGACUCCUACGGAAGGCAGCAG
rnacentral:rRNA from 1 species